UCGAACGGAGUCUGCAUGAAACCUAGUGAUUGUAGACUUAGUGGCGGACGGGUGAGUAACGCGUGGGUAACCUGCCUUGUACUGGGGGACAACAGUUGGAAACGACUGCUAAUACCGCAUAAGCGCACAGCUUCGCAUGAAGCAGUGUGAAAAACUGAGGUGGUACAAGAUGGACCCGCGUCUGAUUAGCUGGUUGGUGAGGUAACGGCUCACCAAGGCGACGAUCAGUAGCCGGCCUGAGAGGGUGAACGGCCACAUUGGGACUGAGACACGGCCCAAACUCCUACGGGAGGCAGCAGUGGGGAAUAUUGCAUAAUGGGGGAAACCCUGAUGCAGCGACGCCGCGUGAGUGAAGAAGUAUUUCGGUAUGUAAAGCUCUAUCAGCAGGGAAGAAAGAAAUGACGGUACCUGACUAA
rnacentral:rRNA from 1 species